UGAGGAAUAUUGGUCAAUGGGCGGGAGCCUGAACCAGCCAAGCCGCGUGAGGGAGGAAGGCCCUAUGGGUCGUAAACCUCUUUGUCAGGGAACAAAAGCGAGUAUGUAUACUAGUCUGAGUGUACCUGAAGAAAAAGGCAUCGGCUAACUCCGUGCCAGCAGCCGCGGUAAUACGGAGGAUGCGAGCGUUAUCCGGAUUUAUUGGGUUUAAAGGGUGCGUAGGCGGCGGUGCAAGUCAGCGGUAAAAGCCCGGGGGCCUCAACCCCGGCGAGCCGUUGAAACUGCAGUGCUAGAGAAGGCGAGAGGUACGCGGAAUGCGCAGUGUAGCGGUGAAAUGCUUAGAUAUUGCGCAGAACUCCGAUUGCGAAGGCAGCGUACUGGCGCCUGACUGACGCUGAGGCACGAAAGCGUGGGGAUCGAACAGGAUUAGAUACC
rnacentral:rRNA from 1 species